UUGGAAAUGAUGCAUCAACAACUUCUGACUGCCAUUGAUGGUGUUUGUAUUCAUACUGUCUGAUCCAA